AGGGGGCAAGCGUUAUUCGGAAUUAUUGGGCGUAAAGGGCGCGUAGGCGGCUUUGCAAGUGAGGGGGGAAAUCCCUCGGCUUAACCGAGGAACUGCCUGUCAAACUGCAUGGCUUGAGACCGGGAGAGGUGAGUGGAAUUCCCAGUGUAGCGGUGAAAUGCGUAGAUAUUGGGAGGAACACCAGUGGCGAAGGCGGCUCACUGGACCGGUACUGACGCUGAUGCGCGAAAGCGUGGGGAGCAAACAGG
rnacentral:rRNA from 1 species